rnacentral:rRNA from 1 species
GAUGAAUGCUGGCGGCGUGCCUAACACAUGCAAGUCGAGCGGCAGCGCGAGUAGUUUACUACUUGGCGGCGAGCGGCGGACGGCUGAGUAACGCGUAGGAACGUGCCCCAAAGUGAGGAAUAACUGCCCGAAAGGGUGGCUAAUGCCGCAUAUGAUCUUCGGAUUAAAGUCUUCGGACGCUUUGGGAGCGGCCUGCGUUAGAUUGGGUAGUUGGUGAGGUAAUGGCUCACCAAGCCGACGAUCUAUAGCUGGUCUGAGAGGAUGAUCAGCCAGACUGGGACUGAGACACGGCCCAGACUCCUACGGGAGGCAGCAGUGAGGAAUCUUCCACAAUGGGCGAAAGCCUGAUGGAGCAACGCCGCGUGAAGGAUGAAGGCCUUAGGGUUGUAAACUUCUUUUAUAAGUGAAGAAUAUGACGGUAACUUAUGAAUAAGCACCGGCUAACUACGUGCCAGCCGCCGCAGUAA